UGACGGUACCUGACUAAGAAGCCCCGGCUAACUACGUGCCAGCAGCCGCGGUAAUACGUAGGGGGCAAGCGUUAUCCGGAUUUACUGGGUGUAAAGGGAGCGUAGACGGAGAAGCAAGUCUGAUGUGAAAGGCAUGGGCUCAACCUGUGGACUGCAUUGGAAACUGUUUUUCUUGAGUGCCGGAGGGGUAAGCGGAAUUCCUAGUGUAGCGGUGAAAUGCGUAGAUAUUAGGAGGAACACCAGUGGCGAAGGCGGCUUACUGGACGGUAACUGACGUUGAGGCUCGAAGGCGUGGGGAGCAAACAGGAUUAGAUACCCUG
rnacentral:rRNA from 1 species